rnacentral:rRNA from 1 species
AGAGCGAACGCUGGCGGCAGGCCUAAUACAUGCAAGUCGAACGCACCUUCGGGUGAGUGGCGGACGGGUGAGUAACACGUGGGAACGUGCCCUUUGGUUCGGAAUAAUCCGGGGAAACCUGGCCUAAUACCGAAUGUGCCCUUCGGGGGAAAGAUUUAUCGCCAUUGGAGCGGCCCGCGUCUGAUUAGCUAGUUGGUGGGGUAAAGGCCCACCAAGGCUACGAUCAGUAGCUGGUCUGAGAGGAUGAUCAGCCACACUGGGACUGAGACACGGCCCAGACUCCUACGGGAGGCAGCAGUAGGGAAUCUUGCGCAAUGGGCGAAAGCCUGACGCAGCCAUGCCGCGUGAAUGAUGAAGGUCUUAGGAUUGUAAAAUUCUUUCAGCGGGAAGAUAAUGACGGUACCCGCAGAAGAAGCUCCGGCUAACUUCGCGCCAGCAGCCGC